rnacentral:lncRNA from 1 species
CGUUAUCCUCUCUCUCUCUCUCUACGGGACACAAUCUAUUCCAAAAGAGAAAUCCAAAGCGACAGAGACUGCACGGCCAUGGCGGCCAUAGAAAGCGGCACCCACGCGCGGAACGGAGGGGGGGAGGACGAUGGCGGCAGCAACGGUGGUGGGGUUGGCAUGGAGCAGAUCACAGUCAGUUGUAUUAUUAUAACCGGCCUAAGCUCGUCGAGGUGGCGAGCGAUGUCGAUGUCGGCCACCAGCUGAUGUCCGGUCGGCCGCGGCCUCGACAAAAGUGCUUCUUCCUAUCCUGGUUGCAGUUUCGCAGCGCCAUCAUCAAACAAGCAGUGCAAGCUCGUCUUCGACCUUUGCAAGUUCGUAGCCCGUGGCAUUUUCUGUCUUUUAUUUUGCUGCUUUGGCUUCUUAAUUUUUAUUGAAGCUUUGACAUGUUAUUAAUUAUAUCACUUCGAAUAUCUAAAAAUAUGUCACAUAUAUCUCACUCCUUUACUCGUAAAUCCACUAACUCAGGUUAACCACCUAUAGAUGUGAUGAUCAUUGACUUUAAAAUAUUAUAAUAUAAAAUACCUUAAAAUAUCCUUUUAUACUACUUCAUCGAAAACUUCAAUAUAAAUGGAUAAAUACAAAAGAACUAUUAAUUUGUGAUAAUAUUUGUACUAUCUCUAUCCAUAUUAAUGUCAUUUAAAGUGUCAGCGUCUUGAUGUUAACAACCAAUCAACGAAGAUUAACUACAGUCUUUUUGUAUAAUUUUUUUUAUUUUUUGGGGAUAUAUAUAUGCUAAAAUUAAAUUUAGAUGAACACACACACACACACACACACACACACACACACACACAUAUAUAUAUAUAUAUAUAUAUAUAUAUAUAUAUAUAUAUAUAUAUAUAUAUAUAUAUAUUAUAAUUUUACCCUAUCAUAAAAAAUAAGUAAUCUGUUAGCUAUGAAUUUGUGCUAAAAUAUGCCAUCAAAGCAUAAUUAUCAAAACCAGAUUGAAUCGAAUAGUCAAACAAAAAAAAAUUAAGAAUCAGACCAUUACAUGUCCGAUUUAAUUAUUGGAUCAAUGUAUUCAAAAAUCAAAAUGAACCCAUUGACCUCAUUGGUCUUUUGAUAACUUCCUUGAAAUGUUGGACUAUAUAAAACUGAUUUAGUUUUGUAACAUAACAAAAAAAAUGUAAAUAUUUUUCAAAUAAACUUUUUUAUAUUUCUUCAAGAAGAUAUUUUCAUCCAUCAUCAAAUUAGAAUUGAUACGUGAAAGAAAUUAAAAUUGAUCCAGCUUUCAUGUAAUACCACCAAUGUUGGUAUUAUCAUUCAACCUAGUUGAUAUUAUCAUUUUUAUUAUUUUUUAAUAUUUUUAAAUUUUUAUUAUACAUAAUUUUAAAUUAUCUAAUAUAUUUUAAAAUAUUUUUAAUUAAAUAUACUAUCAUAGACUUAGCUGGUUUUACCUAAGUCAUGAGAUAUCGUUGUGAGUUCGUCCACAAAAGGUUAGCCUUUUCGAAACAUCUUAUUUCAACAAACACUUCAUAGACAAUAAUAAUUAUAAAUAUAAACUUUAUAAACUCUGUACAAUUGCGCGAUAAAAUGUCCAAGGUAAUUCAUCUCGAUCAAAAGUCCCCAUAAGUGCUCACAUAAUAUUAUUAUGGAACAAGACAAUGAAUCAAUCCUAGACACUAUCUCAAAAGCUUAUCCAACCAUAUACCACUCGGGUAGCUCUUUGAUAUUGUAUUAGCUAAUACUCUAUAUUACUCUAUGAAGCUAAAAAAACCCCGAAAAUAGUUAUCUAUAUGAUCUUUUUUAGAAAAUUUUACCUCUAUACAACAACUGUAUACAACCUAUGUUAACAAGUCUACAAUAAUCAUAAAAGCUAACUAAAAUAGAGUUACAAAGUUUAUUACAAACUCAAUAUAUGCUGUGUAAAGCAUGAACAAAAUUGAAAGAUAUAGUUUUAUAUGAGCAUUCUAUCGAACAACCUAUUUAUAGUAUUGUCCUUGAUAUUCUCCCCCACUUAUUCGAUUGAACAUCUUGUUUAUCGACUCAAUUAUAAUAACUAUCCCUAAUGGUUGAUAUAUUCAUAUAUUUAUAUCAAAGAUGUUUUAGUGAUUAAAACCUAUACUUUUCUAAAAUUUUAUCACUGAAUAUCUUCUCCUAAGCAUUUCAUGAUUAAUAAUAUGGUAUUUUUUAUGUUGUUUUUUAGCCCACUAUAAAGAGAUGGUAAAUAGUGUUUAAUCCUAAUAGAAGAAAAUGUGAAGAAGGUAUGGCUGACGGUGGUAACACGUCACCACCAACUUGCAGCCACCUAUCCUUUCUUAAAGGAAACUGAUCACCAAAUGUCAAUUCCCUGUUGAGACUAUUUAGCUUUCUAUGUUUCUUUGGUUGCUAGAUUUAGCUACAUCUUUAUUUUGUCAAAUAAAAGCAGAAUAAUUGAUGAUGAUUUCUUUAUCACCAAAGUCAGAAUCUUGGAAAUGCAUAUCCAAUCUUGCUACCCUUUUCCCGUAUUGGCUUCAAAAUGUCAGUAUGCGGCAGGCACUAAUUCGCAGUGACAUACGAAAAUAAUCAUAUAUCGUUUUCCAUUAUGAUCCUCAUAGAAUCAAAUGACAAAUAUUUAGAACAUCAUGCUAUUUGUGCACUUCUCAUCCUUGUGGCGUUUUUUGCUAGAUGUGUUGUCGUAUUUCUUUCAUAUUUGAUUUGAUUUUAUUCUCGAUUUGUGUGCUAAUGUCCAAACAUUUUCUUGGUGACCACAUAAUGCCCAUCUCUGAGUUAGUACAGGAUUCAUGGUCGGGGCUGCCAAUCUCAUCACUAUCUCCUUGCCGGCGACGUUGUCCUCGCUACAGCCACCACAACAUCAACUCUUCUGCAUCCCACCUUCUCAUUGAUGGAGAGCGAAGGAAUCUCGCAGUUUACUGGUUUUAGAGAGAUAAGCUUCAUAUCCCCCUCAUUACAAACUCCCCCUCACCAGCAAUAUGGUCCCUCCAAUAAUACUGUCCUUGCUAGCGACAUAGCAAUUAACAUGAUGACACCAUACUUCUUUGUACUCCCAUGUCAACUCUCCCUCUUCCUUGUUGGCUUCACCA